AACGUAGGAGGCGAGCGUUAUCCGGAUUUACUGGGUGUAAAGCGCGUGCAGGCGGUUCUGCAAGUGGGACGUGAAAGCGCCCGGCUCAACCGGGCGAGGCCGUUCCGAACUGCGGGACUGGAGGCAGGUAGAGGCGUGUGGAAUUCCGGGUGUAGUGGUGAAAUGCGUAGAGAUCCGGAGGAACACCAGUGGCGAAGGCGGCAUCCUGGCCAUGUCCUGACGCUCAGGGGCGAAAGCGUGGGGAGCAAAC
rnacentral:rRNA from 1 species